ACAACUAAAUCUAGCAGUUGCGGGUACGGUUCCAUCUAACAGGCAAAUAUGAAGGGGAUUGUCAUUAUUGUUUUCGUAGUCCUGAUAUCCGUUACAUACGGAUCGAAGCAUUGUACAUUGCACCAGAAAGAAAA